UACGUAGGGUGCAAGCGUUGUCCGGAAUUAUUGGGCGUAAAGAGCUCGUAGGCGGUCUGUCGCGUCUGCUGUGAAAACUCAGGGCUUAACCCUGAGCUUGCAGUGGGUACGGGCAGACUAGAGUGCGGUAGGGGAGACUGGAAUUCCUGGUGUAGCGGUGAAAUGCGCAGAUAUCAGGAGGAACACCGGUGGCGAAGGCGGGUCUCUGGGCCGGUAACUGACGCUGGAGGAGCGAAAGCAUGGGGAGCGAACAGG
rnacentral:rRNA from 1 species